rnacentral:rRNA from 1 species
GAAUAUUGGACAAUGGGCGCAAGCCUGAUCCAGCCAUGCCGCGUGCAGGAUGACGGUCCUAUGGAUUGUAAACUGCUUUUAUACAGGAAGAAACCCUACUACGUGUAGUAGAUUGACGGUACUGUAGGAAUAAGGAUCGGCUAACUCCGUACCAGCAGCCGCGGUAAUACGGAGGAUCCAAGCGUUAUCCGGAAUCAUUGGGUUUAAAGGGUCCGUAGGCGGUCUUAUAAGUCAGUGGUGAAAUCCGGCAGCUCAACUGUCGAACUGCCAUUGAUACUGUAAGACUUGAAUUACUGUGAAGUAACUAGAAUAUGUAGUGUAGCGGUGAAAUGCUUAGAUAUUACAUGGAAUACCAAUUGCGAAGGCAGGUUACUAACAUUAUAUUGACGCUGAUGGACGAAAGCGUGGGUAGCGAACAG